rnacentral:rRNA from 1 species
CUUCUCCCGCGCAGAUUUGGAAUCGCUGCGGCGAGUUGUGAAUUGCAGGUUGGCGCCUCGGCGGCGGCGGCGGUCCAAGUCCCUUGGAACAGGGCGCCAUUGAGGGUGAGAGCCCCGUGGGACCGGCGCCUGAGCUGUGAGGCCCUUCUGACGAGUCGAGUUGUUUGGGAAUGCAGCUCCAAGCGGGUGGUAAAUUCCAUCUAAGGCUAAAUACUGGCGAGAGACCGAUAGCGAACAAGUACUGUGAAGGAAAGAUGAAAAGCACUUUGAAAAGAGAGUGAAACAGCACGUGAAAUUGUUGAAAGGGAAGGGUAUUGCGCCCGACAUGGAGCGUGCGCACCGCUGCCCCCCGUGGGCGGCGCUCUGGGCGCGCUCUGGGCCAGCAUCGGUUUCUGCCGCGGGAGAGGGGGCGCGGGGCAUGUAGCUCUUCGGAGCUU